UACGGAGGGAGCUAGCGUUGUUCGGAAUCACUGGGCGUAAAGCGCACGUAGGCGGAUUUGUCAGUCAGGGGUGAAAUCCCGGGGCUCAACCUCGGAACUGCCUUUGAUACAGCAAGUCUUGAGUUCGAGAGAGGUGGGUGGAAUUCCUAGUGUAGAGGUGAAAUUCGUAGAUAUUAGGAAGAACACCGGUGGCGAAGGCGGCCCACUGGCUCGAUACUGACGCUGAGGUGCGAAAGCGUGGGGAGCAAACAGG
rnacentral:rRNA from 1 species